rnacentral:lncRNA from 1 species
GCGAAGGAACGGCAGUCACACUCCUCACCGGUCUGGAACUUCACUGUACAAAGGGAAGGUCUGAAAAUGAAUGUGCUUUGGUGCAUCAUCAGGGAAGCUCCAGUAACGCUGCUGCUGCUGCUGCCACAGCUAACCAAGCUAAAAGGUCUUCAAUUUAAAAGUAUGCCCCUUCACUGCAAGGACAUUUGCUCUCCAGGACAAUGCGUCUACCCAGUACCAGAGGAAGCACUCUCAAACUUGAUGAAAAAAUUGGAUGAAGACUGCGAGGCGGAGUGGUUCACAAAGGUGAGAUUAUUGCUGUUGCUAACAUUAGCACUCACUUGCUCAAUGCUUUUAACCCACACUUUGUACACUCACACUGUGUAAAUGGUCUAAUACAGGUCCUCCUUAAGCAUCAGGAAACCCCCCUACAUUUAUUUAUUUAUUUUUUUUAUUAAAUGCUUUGUAGAAAUGCAUGAGAAAU